AAGAUGGCUGCGCCCACGUAGACGAUUUUUUCUGCAGUGCCGGAGAAUGAAAUAUCAAAUUGUAUAUACACAAGGUAACUAACAGAGGUUCGAUUGUUAUGACAGGGAAGUAGCAGAUGUAAAGGCAUUUGUGCCAGUAUAUGUACAGAUGUGCUGCUGACUCUGGCCAGAUAUAUUCUGAUUAAAGUGUGGGAGAGCACAGCUGUUGUUGUGUGGUCAUAUUAUCAUGUUAUAUCAACAGAGACUUGAACACAAAUAUGGAGUGUUCCCAGGAGAUGUUUCCUUUCUCAGUGAAAGAUAAAGUUGGCUGAUACAAUGUUUGUAAACACUGCAUACACAAGGUCACCUUUUCAAAGCACUGAGACCAGACAUAAAAAUGCCAGUCAAGAUGAAACUGAGAGUAAGGAUUUUCCUUGUGUUGACUGUAGCCUUUCUGUUUGUAGUCUCCUUCAAGAUUUUAGAACCAGAACUCAAGGACCAUGGUCUCCAUAGAGAGACCAGGGAUUUUCAGGACUACUAUGACUUUGCAGAAGAUGGCAGAGUCAGUAAAGACAAAUAUGGAAAAGAGCUUGAUCCAAUACAACAUAUAACAAGUGGCUCAAUAAGACAGAAUUCUCUUGUAGAAAAGCACAGCAAGUCUGAACUGAUUGCAGAACUUAUUAAAAAAUAUAAAGUGAACUUGAAUCAUAAGAUAAAAGGUUCCCCAUGGGAAAUUGCUGCAAGCUGGGUGACGUCAAGGAGAAUACACCCUGAAGAAGCCCCAGAAAUGGGUGCCAUAUUGAAUGCCCUGGCUACCAGACCCAUCAUGGCGGCUGACGUAGGCUUCAAGGGUACCCAGCUCAAAAUGACUCUAGUCUUAGAAGGCAACCAAAAGGCAGUUUUCAAGCCAAAAUGGUAUGACAGAGACUACGUGGUGGUAGGGACACCAUACUCUGGUGCUGACAGACAUAACGGAGAAAUAGCUGCAUUCCACUUGAUAAGGUUACUGGGACUGAAUCGAGCACCUCUGGUGGUGGGACGCACAGUCAACCUGCAGAAAGAAAUCCUGCCAGUUUCAUCCACAAAAUUAAAGAGCACUUUCUUUCAAAGAGAUAACAACACCUGUUUUUAUGGGCAGUGUCUCUAUUGCAAGAGUGAAGAGGACGGGGUGUGCGCUGAUGGCGAAAUGCUAGAGGGCGCUGUGGUCUUGUGGUUGCCAAGGAAGUGGACUUUUUAUAAAAAACACAGAAGUCCUUGGCAGAGGACUUAUAAGGAGGGAAAAGUUGCCAGGUGGGAGUACGACGAUACAUACUGUGAUACUGUGCGGGCUGUGGCACCCUACGACAGCGGACCCCGCCUUCUGGAUCUCCUAGAUGCUGUUGUAGUGGACUACCUCAUUGGGAAUGCGGAUCGCCAUCAUUAUGAGACAUUUGCUAACGCCACUGACAGCAUGAUUAUUAUGCUGGAUAAUGCCAAAAGUUUUGGAAAUUAUUACCAUGAUGAGAAAAGCAUUUUAACUCCAAUAAAGCAAUGUUGUCUACUACGGCGUACGACGUGGGACAGGCUACAACUGCUGAAGGAUGAAGUGUUGAGCAAUGUACUUAGAGGUAUUCUUGAAGCAGAUCCAUUGGCUCCUAUUCUCAUUGAACCACACCUGAAGGCAUUGGACAGAAGAUUAGAGCACAUUUUACAGGAGCUGCACUUGUGUGUUGAACAGAAAUCUGAGCAAAAGGUUUUUGUGUGAUAUUAGAUGAGAAAAGAAGCUACCUAGAGAAUGUUAUCCUUGUCUGAUGCUUUCUAACAGUCUGGUUGCAGUGGCUUGGUAAAAAGUGCAGAGCGUGAUACAUCUAGUCAUCACUGAGUUACCCAUUACAAAAAUGAGAGGCCGAAAAAAGAUCCUGAAAGUAAUCAACACAUAGGUAUGAGCUUGUUAUGUCGAAUUUAAUUUAUUUUGAAAAAUGGUAUGACCAUAAUAUCAUGAUAUAGAUCACUUGCACAGUCACACUUUAUAGAUAAAUGAUCAGCCUUUUCCUGCCAUUAUUUAUUCACAUUUUUUAUGUGAUGUGAUGGCAUUUAAUUAUAUUAGGCAGCUAUUUUUAAGUGCAAGAUUUUUUAAAGUCUUUAAUAUAUUAUUUACUUUUCAAUAAAUCUUUCAAACACACAUACAUAAUAAUGUGUGAUUUAAAAAAAACAAAAACAGGUGCAUCAGAACUAUAUUUUUGUUAUGGAACUUCAAACUUGAUAUUCAGAGUUCAGCUUUUAAUGGUUAGUCUGUAGUGAAGGUGGAUCACAUACUUUGUUUUGUCACUUACUAACCCCUCCCCCCAAACACAAGCAUGCACGCAUGCAUGCGCAUACUCUCUCUCUCUCUCUCUCUCUCUCUCUCUCUCUCUCUCUCUCUCUCUCUCACACACACACACAUUACAUUAAUCUACAGCACCCUAGGAUCAUUAGAAGAUGACAGCAUAGGGAUGUCAGCGUAGACUAAAGAUGGCAGUUUGGCAUCAAACUUAUCCUCCAGUAUCUCAAAAAGAAAAUUUGUAACAAAAAACUGUGUGAUCUGAUAGCAUUAGAAAACUGAUGUACUUAUUUCAUCAUGUAAUUUGAUUAUAACAUACCUUGUUUAGUCUGAUUUCAAAAAUGAAAUAUGAAAGCAAAGGAGUGAACAGUGGCAUCUUAAAGCAUAUCCAGAACAGCAGACUAACAGAUCUGCAGAUCAAAUAUGUCCGACCCAUAUCUGUGGGGAUUUCGCUACAAGCAUACAAGCAUUCAAGUGGGUCGGCCAUAUUUGCUUCACAGAUCUGCAAGUCUGCUGUUGUGAAUGUGGCAUUAUAGCUCAAGGUGGAGUUGCAAUAGACUUGGUCACACAGCAAUAUUGUAUUUUAUUUUGAAAAAAAGUGUAUUUAUACUUAAAGAGCUACAAGUGCUAUACUUUAAAGCUGGUCUCGGCAUUAUAUGUAUAUUGAGGUUUUCAUUGUGGCCAAAUGUUAAUAGGAAAUAUUUCAAUGAAAAAAAUAAUAAAAUUUUCUUUAGAUUUUUAAAUGUUAGAUUUAGAUUUGCCAGUGACAAGGGCGGUUGAUAUUUAAAUAUUUAUAAACCAAAUAAGGGGAAAGCUUGAUGUUAAUGUUAG
rnacentral:misc_RNA from 1 species